rnacentral:rRNA from 1 species
AGAGUUUGAUCCUGGCUCAGGAUGAACGCUGGCGAGAUGCUUUACACAUGCAAGUCGUACGAGAGUUUUUAACUCAAGUGGCGGACGGGUGAGUAACACGUAAGAAUUUGCCUUUAGGAGGGGGACAACAGUUGGAAACGACUGCUAAUACCCCAUAUGCUUUCGAGUGAAAUGGAUUUUUCCGCCUAGAGAGAAGCUUGCGGCUGAUUAGCUUGUUGGUGAGGUAAUGGCUCACCAAGGCGACGAUCAGUAUCUGGUUUGAGAGGACGAUCAGACACACUGGAACUGAGACACGGUCCAGACUCCUACGGGAGGCAGCAGUGGGGAAUUUUCCGCAAUGGGCGAAAGCCUGACGGAGCAAUCUCGCGUGAGGGAUGACUGCCUAUGGGUUGUAAACCUCUUUUUUCAGGGAGGAAUCAAUGACGUGUACCUGAAGAAUAAGCAUCGGCUAACUCCGUGCCAGCAGCCGCGGUAAGACGGAGGAUGCAAGUGUUAUCCGGAAUCACUGGGCGUAAAGCGUCUGUAGGUGGUUUGAUAAGUCAACUGUUAAAUCUUGAAGCUCAACUUCAAAAUCGCAGUCGAAACUAUUAGACUAGAGUAUAGUAGGGGUAAAGGGAAUUUCCAGUGGAGCGGUGAAAUGCGUAGAGAUUGGAAAGAACACCGAUGGCGAAGGCACUUUACUGGGCUAUUACUGACACUCAGAGACGAAAGCUAGGGUAGCAAAUGGGAUUAGAUACCCCAGUAGUCCUAGCCGUAAACAAUGGAUACUAGAUGUUGAACAGAUCGAACUGUGCAGUAUC